UACGAAGGGGGCUAGCGUUGUUCGGAUUUACUGGGCGUAAAGCGCACGUAGGCGGAUCGUUAAGUCGGGGGUGAAAUCCUGGAGCUCAACUCCAGAACUGCCUUCGAUACUGGCGAUCUUGAGUCCGGAAGAGGUGAGUGGAACUCCUAGUGUAGAGGUGGAAUUCGUAGAUAUUAGGAAGAACACCAGUGGCGAAGGCGGCUCACUGGUCCGAUACUGACGCUGAGGAGCGAAAGCGUGGGGAGCAAACAGG
rnacentral:rRNA from 1 species